rnacentral:rRNA from 1 species
GGGCCCGCACAAGCGGAGGAACAUGUGGUUUAAUUCGAUGAUACGCGAGGAACCUUACCUGGGCUUAAAUGUAGAGUGCAUUGAGAGGAAACUUUCAUUUUCUUCGGAACUCUUUACAAGGUGCUGCAUGGUUGUCGUCAGCUCGUGCCGUGAGGUGUCGGGUUAAGUCCCAUAACGAGCGCAACCCUUAUCGUUAGUUGCCAGCGGGUAAUGCCGGGAACUCUAGCGAAACUGCCGGUGUAAACCGAGAGGAAGGUGGGGAUGACGUCAAAUCAGCACGGCCCUUAUGUCCAGGGCUACACACGUGUUACAAUGGCCGGUACAGAGGGCAGCUACCUGGAGACAGGAUGCGAAUCUCGAAAGCCGGUCUCAGUUCGGAUCGGAGUCUGCAACCCGACUCCGUGAAGCUGGAUUCGCUAGUAAUCGCGCAUCAGCCAUGGCGCGGUGAAUACGUUCCCGGGCCUU